rnacentral:rRNA from 1 species
CCUACGGGCGGCAGCAGUGAGGAAUAUUGGUCAAUGGGCUUACGCCUGAACCAGCCAAGUCGCGUGAGGGAAGACUGCCCUAUGGGUUGUAAACCUCUUUUGUGAGGGAGAAAUAGGCGCUACGUGUAGCGUUAUCGAGAGUACCUGAAGAAAAAGCAUCGGCUAACUCCGUGCCAGCAGCCGCGGUAAUACGGGGGAUGCGAGCGUUAUCCGGAUUUAUUGGGUUUAAAGGGUGAGUAGGCGGAUUUUAAAGUCAGCGGUAAAAUGUCCGGGCUCAACCCGGGCCGGCCGUUGAAACUGGGGAUCUUGAGUGGGCUAGAAGUAUGCGGAAUGCGUGGUGUAGCGGUGAAAUGCAUAGAUAUCACGCAGAACUCCGAUUGCGAAGGCAGCAUACCGGCGCCCGACUGACGCUGAGGCACGAAAGCGUGGGGAUCGAACAGGAUUAGAUACCCCAGUAGUC